UCGCCUGGGGGCGCCCGAACCAUGGGCACCAAGUGGUUCAGCGGGGCGCCCUUCGGGGUGCAGAGCCUCAGGUUUGAUGUCUCCUCCGUUUACCCCAGUAAGAAGAAAUCCAACACCUUCACGGAGGCCCCCUAUUCCAAGCUUCAUUCUGUGGAAGCGUCCCACAUAGGCCCAGGAACCUAUGGCUACAAGGAGACCUGCUUCAGCAAGACGAAGCUCAAUAAGGAGGUGGGCACAGGCUGGGCCAGGGCCCAGGAAGCCACCCGGCUGACCUGGCUGCCCCACUUCCAGUACGAGGCCAUCAUGAGAGAGAAGCAGCUGCAGAAGGAGAAGCUGGGGCCCGGCUCCUACGACCUCAAAGACUUCCUAGAACAGCUGCAGCAGAAACCGUGCAGCACCCGGGGGCUGCUCAGCUCAGGGGAGACUCGCUUCCGAGAGCUCAUUGGGAACUACUAUCCAGGCCCUGGAAACUACGGGGUGAAGGGUAACCCAUACACGAAGCUGGAGGAGAAGGCCCAGAGCCGUUCUCAGGGCCUCAUGUGCAGGAUGACCAGCAAGCCGCCCCUCUCUGUUCAUCAGGGGAGUGGCCUGGCGCCAGGCACCUACUCCUUCAAAAGUGGCAUUGAGACCUACCUGGCACACUCCACGGGCACCCGUGGCCCCUACGACAUUUUCUCCGGUGACCGAAGCAAGCCCCAGCCUCAUGGACAUUACUCUCUGCAGAAAAAAAAGCCCAGGGAACUGAUGAACUGGCCGAGCUUAGUGGAAGAACUUAAUUCACGUCACAACAAGAAGCGUGGGGUUUUUUCGAAAAUGCCUCGCAACCCGGAAACCCCUACGGAAAGGAUUUACUGGGCCACCCUUAGCCAGUGCCCCCGAAAACUAGCCACGUCUGGUCCCGGUUCGUGGCUUCCUCCAAAGAGGGAAUGCAAGCAAGCCAACCAGCCACCGUUCCUGCUGUCUUCCAAGCGGAUGGGUGCCAAGGCCUACCAGAUGAUUCUGGGAAGCUGGAACCCCGUAGGUGUGGGCCGCUACCUCAACACCUGGCUGAUGGAGACGAAGGACACACGACAUCGGUAUCGGUCCCUAUACCUGGGUGGAUCCAAGCGCUACCCCUCAGACCCGGCCCGGGACAGGCUCAUGCAGGAAAGGAUCACGCCUUUUACUAAGGGGAAGCACCUUGCAACAGUGGAUUACAAUUCAGAUCCUACUCCUUAAAGCUGCAUAUGAAGGACAGCCUGUGAUGACCAGAGGGCCCAAAAGCCUGAAGACAAAUUUGGGAAUGGGAGGGUAUAAACUUGACAAAAGAUAUACAAGAUGUUUAUGCUGAAAACUACAAAAUACUGCCAAGGGAAAUUAAAGAAGACUUAAAUAAAGAAGAGAUAUACCAUAUUCAUGGAUCAAAAGGUUCAAUAUGGCUGUCAGUUCCUCCCAAGUUGAUCUGUAGAUUGAAGGCAACAUUAAUA